AUACUCUAAUGGCAAACUCGUUGCAAAAUGAGGACGCAAAGUGACAGCACAGGCGGGUCUGUGGGCUGCAUUACUGAG
rnacentral:ncRNA from 1 species